GAUGAACGCUAGCGAUAGGCUUAACACAUGCAAGUCGAGGGACCGGCGCACGGGUGCGUAACGCGUAUGCAACUUGCCUCACAGAGGGGGAUAACCCGUCGAAAGACGGACUAAUACCGCGUACUGUGAGAUAGGCAUGCGUCCCAUUAGCUAGUUGGUGAGGUAACGGCUCACCAAGGCAACGAUGGGUAGGGGAACUGAGAGGUUGAACCCCCACACUGAUACUGAGACACGGGCCAGACUCCUACGGGAGGAAACAGUGAGGAAUAUUGGUAAAUGGGCGUGAGCCUGAACCAGGCAAUACGCGUGAAGGAUGACUGGCUAUGGAUUGUAAACUUCUUUUGUAGGGGAAGAUGUACCCUACUAAUAAGCAUCGGCUAACACCGUGCCAGCCGCCGCGGUGGUUC
rnacentral:rRNA from 1 species